CUCCAAAAGCCAUCUCAGUUCGGAUUGCACUCUGCAACUCGAGUGCAUGAAGUUGGAAUCGCUAGUAAUCGCGGAUCAGCAUGCCGCGGUGAAUACGUUCCCGGGCCUUGUACACACCGCCCGUCACACCAUGGGAGUUGGUUUUACCCGAAGGCGCUGUGCUAACCGCAAGGAGGCAGGCGACCACGGUAGGGUCAGCGACUGGGGUGAAGUCGUAACAAGGUAGCCGUAGGGGAACCUGCGGCUGGAUCACCUCCUUUCUAAGGAAGC
rnacentral:rRNA from 1 species